rnacentral:lncRNA from 1 species
CACAAAUUUUAUUUAUUUAAACUGUAUAUUAAUCAUAGUGCAAAUUAUAUUGUUUCCAUCUAUAUAUUGUACUAUUAAGUUUCAAAUAUGAAAAUGUGAUAAAGUUUCAAAAAAUUGUAACUAGCUAUCCUUUCCAUCACAAUACAUAUACAGUUUCAGAUCAACGACAAAAAAUAAUGCUUCAAGUAGUAUAUAUAUAAUCUUAAAUUUAUUUUUAUUAAAGUUGUAGUAUGUAAAAUACCAUUCAUCAUAAUAAAAAAAUUUUGCCAGCUUCUAAAAAAUUAUGUUAGAUUAGUAUAUGAAUAAAUUUGUUGAUUAAUGAAUAGUUUUUUUUUAAUAAUUUUUGCAGAUGUCGUUAGAAUACAUAUUAUCUCCAAAUCAAUGGUUCUCUGCUACGAUUACUCAAUUUGCAAAUCAUUAAUAUCUUAAAAAUUUUGUAGAACUUAUAGAUACAGACGAUCAAGCUUCUUUAUUGUGCAGUCCAUUCCAUGGAUUCAUUUACGGAAGUAUGUAUAAAAAGCAAAAUGAAAAAUUUAGCAACAAAUUAAUACAUGAGUUCAUAGUGAGACUUAUAAACUGCGGUAAAAAUAACGAAGUUUGGGUACAAUUAUACGAUCAUGUAGCUCAGUUUGGCCUGCAAAAAUUUUGUCUAAUCAUUGGAUUACCAUGCCAUGAAGUUACUGUUAAUCUCAAUUUUAAUAAUACUCAACUUAGGGAUGAAUACUUCAAUGGUUCAAAGAGAGUUAUUAUGAUAAGACUUUCUGAAGUAUUUCAUAAAUGUCAAAAUCGAGAAGAUGAAUUUAAGUUGGGAUUAGUUAUGUUUGUCGAAUGCGUUUUAAAACUAACUGGAAGACACAUCGAUUUCAGAACUCUUGGAAUGGUUGAACAACUUGAUGAGUUCCUUAUGUAUCAAUGGAGACGUAAGACAUACUUUGUUUUAUUAAAUUCAUUACAAGAAUCACAACUUCAAAGAGUACGAAGAAUGUAACAAAAUGACCAAACAAACUGUAAAUAUUCGUUGCA